AAGCAUACUACAAUAUCUGGUGUGAAAUGGUUUUGCCAUGGAAUAUCCUUUUUUGGUGAAAUGAGUGGGCGACCUGAUCGUUUUCAUCCCAGCACCCUUGUCCACGAGCUGAUUUAAUGAGUGUAAACUUACAUCAGUACUACUCAAACAAUGGGGCAGCAGUGCUGAAUGUGUUAUUGGAACACGCACAAUACAAUAAGUGGAAAUCUUGGCGCCUACCAAGUGCAACUGGACUCAUUCUGAUACCAUAAUAUAAAUAUUGUUGCUUUCUCUGUCAAACCGAGCACUAUUGGUGCAUUAGCACCGUUCGGGUAUAAUUGAAUUUCCUAAAGCAGUGCUGAUUCCAGCGACAUGUUUGGAGAGAUAAGGAAUUAAACAAAUAUAGCCAGGCUCGAUAAACUUUGGAGCAGCUCACUGGCUCCUCUGAGAAAGACCUUUUCACUCUGAAAGAGCUUAUAAACUCCCCGAUAUCAGAUUUUGCAGUGGAAGUUGUCUUUGGCUGCGUUUGUUGGAGCGAAGCAGGAGAUAAUUGUCUAAUCUUUCGCUUUUCAUCUUUGAGGUAAAAAUGCUUAGCAGUUCUGAGGGAAGCAGACACGUUCAGACCCCAGGCCUCACAUCUAGCUGAUGCGCAACACAUGACCUAGCAUGAACGCAGUCCGCAGAUAAGACGAAUAAACGCAUUUGAGAUUAGAUUGGCUGUAAGGCAGUGUCUGAAUAGGCUCGGUCCCUGCAAUUCAGUUGGCCAAAUUCAGAAUGGCUCGUGGCUGUGUACUGUAGUACUCUUACACAUGUUACUAUACUUCAAUUCCAAUGCUCAGAUUUAGCAUGUUCCCAAACUAAAAAA